AACGAACGCUGGCGGCAGGCCUAACACAUGCAAGUCGAGCGGACCUUUCGGGGUCAGCGGCGGACGGGGGAGUAACGCGUGGGAAGAUGCCCUUCUCUACGGAAUAGUCCUGGGAAACUGGGGGUAAUACCGUAUACGCCCUUAGGGGGAAAGAUUUAUCGGGGAAGGAUUAGCCCGCGUUGGAUUAGGUAGUUGGUGGGGUAAUGGCCUACCAAGCCGACGAUCCAUAGCUGGUUUGAGAGGAUGAUCCGCCACACUGGGACUGAGACACGGCCCAGACUCCUACGGGAGGCAGCAGUGGGGAAUCUUAGACAAUGGGGGCAACCCUGAUCUAGCCAUGCCGCGUGAGUGAUGAAGGCCUUAGGGUUGUAAAGCUCUUUCAGCUGGGAAGAUAAUGACGGUACCAGCAGAAGAAGCCCCGGCUAACUCCGUG
rnacentral:rRNA from 1 species